GGGUUGUGAGGUUAAGCGACUAAGCGUACACGGUGGAUGCCCUGGCAGUCAGAGGCGAUGAAGGACGUGCUAAUCUGCGAAAAGCGCCGGCGAGGUGAUAUGAACCUUUGACCCGGCGAUGUCCGAAUGGGGAAACCCAGUGUGAUUCGUCACACUAUCGUUAACUGAAUACAUAGGUUAACGAGGCGAACUGGGGGAACUGAAACAUCUAAGUACCCCGAGGAAAAGAAAUCAACCGAGAUUCCCCCAGUAGCGGCGAGCGAACGGGGAGCAGCCCAGAGUCUGAAUCAGCUUGUGUGUUAGUGGAAGCGUCUGGAAAGUCGCACGGUACAGGGUGACAGUCCCGUACACGAAAGCACACAGGUUGUGAACUCGAAGAGUAGGGCGGGACACGUGGUAUCCUGUCUGAAUAUGGGGGGACCAUCCUCCAAGGCUAAAUACUCCUGACUGACCGAUAGUGAACCAGUACCGUGAGGGAAAGGCGAAAAGAACCCCGGCGAGGGGAGUGAAAUAGAACCUGAAACCGUGUACGUACAAGCAGUGGGAGCACCUUCGUGGUGUGACUGCGUACCUUUUGUAUAAUGGGUCAGCGACUUAUAUUCUGUAGCAAGGUUAACCGUAUAGGGGAGCCGAAGGGAAACCGAGUCUUAACUGGGCGUUAAGUUGCAGGGUAUAGACCCGAAACCCGGUGAUCUAGCCAUGGGCAGGUUGAAGGUUGGGUAACACUAACUGGAGGACCGAACCGACUAAUGUUGAAAAAUUAGCGGAUGACUUGUGGCUGGGGGUGAAAGGCCAAUCAAACCGGGAGAUAGCUGGUUCUCCCCGAAAGCUAUUUAGGUAGCGCCUCGUGAACUCAUCUUCGGGGGUAGAGCACUGUUUCGGCUAGGGGGCCAUCCCGGCUUACCAACCCGAUGCAAACUACGAAUACCGAAGAAUGUUAUCACGGGAGACACACGGCGGGUGCUAACGUCCGUCGUGAAGAGGGAAACAACCCAGACCGCCAGCUAAGGUCCCAAAGUCAUGGUUAAGUGGGAAACGAUGUGGGAAGGCACAGACAGCCAGGAUGUUGGCUUAGAAGCAGCCAUCAUUUAAAGAAAGCGUAAUAGCUCACUGGUCGAGUCGGCCUGCGCGGAAGAUGUAACGGGGCUAAACCAUGCACCGAAGCUGCGGCAGCGACACUAUGUGUUGUUGGGUAGGGGAGCGUUCUGUAAGCCGUUGAAGGUGGCCUGUGAGGGUUGCUGGAGGUAUCAGAAGUGCGAAUGCUGACAUAAGUAACGAUAAAGCGGGUGAAAAGCCCGCUCGCCGGAAGACCAAGGGUUCCUGUCCAACGUUAAUCGGGGCAGGGUGAGUCGACCCCUAAGGCGAGGCCGAAAGGCG
rnacentral:rRNA from 2 species